UUCUAUGAUUACAAACAAAUAAGUAUGUAUCCAUGUAUUCAAGUGUAAUUUCAGGUACUCAGUAUUCAAUAUUAUUCAAUAUUUGUACUGUAAAUAAAUUUAUGUAAUGAUACAUUUAUGUACAAUAUUAAUGUAAUUGUCACUUUCGUUUUUUCAUUAUUUCAUUAUCAUCAUUAUUUUUGUAUAUAGAAUUUUAACAUUGAUAUUGCAGUACAAGUGCCUAAAGAAAACGACAAAACUGAAAGGAGUACAGACCAAAGUCCAAAGCGAGAAGAAAGUCAUAUUUAUGAGGACAUUGCCCAAAACAACGCGAAAAGACCACCUCAAGAAAAAGACGUUGGAAAACGACCACCUCCAGAAAUUGACAUGAAAAGACCACAUCCACAAAAUGACGUAAAAAUACCAACUCCAGAAAUCGACGUUAACAUACCACCUCCAGAAAUCGACGUUAAAAUACGACCAUCAGAAAUCGACGUAAAAAUACCACCUCCAGAAAUCGACGUAAAAAUCCCACCUCCAGAAAACGACGUAAAAAUACCACCUCUAGAAAUCGACGUAAAAAUCCCACCUCCAAAAAACGACGUAAAAAUACCACCUCUAGAAAUCGUCGUCAAAAUACCACCUCCAGAAAACGGCUUUAAAGGACCAACACCAGGUAACGACUUUAAAAGAACACCGCCGAUCCCGCCAAGAUGCGCAGUGAAACAAUCAUAUGAUCGCAAAGCCCCUGCACAUGAAACGCACAUUUACGAGAACUUGAAAAUUUAAGUUUUGUAUCACAAUAAAAGAGUUCCAGUUUAUAACAGAAUAUUAAUUUAUAUAUUUGAAUGAUAAACUGAAGUGAUGUUUGUUUAUUUCAUUUAAUUUCAUAUUUUGUCAAGAAAAAAUAUAGGUCCAUGGUUGUGAGAAAUGUUAAACUAAAACAUUUCAUCAGAUGUCAAGAAAGGUCAAAACCUGUUCUUUUCGUGUUUUUUGUUUCUUUCAUUGCUUCCUAGAAUCUCCCAUUUGCAGACUAUGUACAAAACAUAAAGGCUUUUUUCUUAACUGAAUAAGGCUUGUGGUAUGGUCAGGACUACCAUUUCCUGACAUGUACAAUAGAUUUGUAAAGAUUUGUUUGUUUUUUUA